rnacentral:rRNA from 1 species
CACGCAGGCGGCUCGUUAAAUUAGAAGUGAAAGCCCCGGGCUCAACCUGGGAAUUGCUUUUAAGACUGGCGAGCUAGAAUCCAGAAGAGGGCAGUGGAAUUCCGAGUGUAGAGGUGAAAUUCGUAGAUAUUCGGAAGAACACCAGUGGCGAAGGCGACUGCCUGGUCUGGUAUUGACGCUCAUGUGCGAAAGCGUGGGGAGCAAACAGGAUUAGAUACCCUGGUAGUCCACGCCGUAAACGAUGAGUGCUAGUUGUUGGGGUCCAUAGGACUUCAGUGACGCAGCUAACGCAUUAAGCACUCCGCCUGGGGAGUACGGCCGACAAGGUUAAA